CUCAGAUGCAGUGCAAGAGGGGCAUAUGCCUCGGAGACUCUAUGUUCCCCAAGCAGCUUUGUGAGCCUUGGGAGACCAGCUCAGGAUGAAGCCUUGUCUUCUGUUAUCCAUUGCUGCCUAUCUGUCUAUUGUGCAGAUGAGGAAACUGAAGCCCUGUUGCAAGGUGAUGGCUCUGUUGAAUUCUAGAGACUGCAAAGAUGAAGAAACUAAGAAACUGUGGCACAAAUUAUUAACUAUACUGCCCAAGGUCAUACACUGGAAAUGGGUGGUGAAGAUUUGAGAAGUUAAAAACUGUUUCCCUGCAUCACUUUUCCGAAACUAACAGAGACUUCAAGCAUGGUUUAAGGGCAGAGAUGGCGCUGUG
rnacentral:lncRNA from 1 species